rnacentral:sRNA from 1 species
GUGCUGUGGACACUCCCUGGGGCCCAGCGAAGGGGAGAGUUUGCUCCCAAAGGCACACCAAUGACCAACAUUUGCCCCCCGGAGGAAAGAACUGGAACCAGGGUCAAGGCCAACCUGUCAGAGGUGCUUGUGUCCAGUGUCCUGGGGGUCAACGUGACCAGCGCUGAAGUCUAUGGGGCCUUCACCUGCUCCAUCCAGAACAUCAGCUUCUCCUUCACUCUUCAGAGAGCUGGCCCUACAAGCCACGUGGCUGCGGUGCUGGCCUCCCUCCUGGUCCUGCUGGCCCUGCUGCUGGCCGCCCUGCUCUAUGUCAAGUGCCGUCUCAACGUGCUGCUCUGGUACCAGGACGCGUAUGGGGAGGUGGAGAUGAACGCGACUGCCCCGAGGACCGCAAGUUCGUGAACUUCAUCCUAAAGCCGCAGCUGGAGCGGCGUCGGGGCUACAAGCUCUUCCUGGACGACCGCGACCUCCUGCCGCGCGCUGGUAUCCCGGGCCCCGCCCCGUGCCCCGCCCACCCGGAGGUCCCGCCCCGCCCCAUGCUCCGUCCCACCCGGGGCCCCACCCCCACCAUCGAGCUCCGCC